rnacentral:rRNA from 1 species
CCUACUGGUGGCAGCAGUAGGGAAUCUUCCACAAUGGGCGAAAGCCUGAUGGAGCACCGCCGCGUGGGUGAAGCAGGUCUUCGGAUCGUAAAACCCUGUUGUUAGAGAAGAAAGUGCGUGAGUGUAACUGUUCACGUUUCGACGGUAUCUAACCAGACAGCCACGGCUAACUACGUGCCAGCACCCGCGGUAAUACGUAGGUGGCAAGCGUUAUCCGGCUUUAUUGGGCGGAAAGGGAACGCAGGCGGUCUUUUAAGUCUGAUGUGAAAGCCUUCGGCUUAACGGGAGUAGUGCAUUGGAAACUGGGAGACUUGAGUACAGAAGAGGAGAGUGGAACUCCAUGUGUAGCGGUGAAAUGCGUAGAUAUAUGGAAGAACACCAGUGGCGAAAGCGGCUCUCUGGUCUGUAACUGACGCUGAGGUGCGAAAGCGUGGGUAGCAAACAGGAUUAGAUACCCGAGUAGAC